ACUGAGCGUCCAUAGCAGACACAUAGAAGGUCUCCUUUCUAAAGUGACCCUUCAGUACCUGAGUUUCCGAAUUUUUGUACAAGUUAUCUCACCAUAAGGCUACACUGAUUGUUCAUCAGAAAGCCUCGGUGUUAUAUAGGAGUUUCCAUCAUGCGUGUAUGAACAAGUUUUGUCGCAUUAUACUUUUUGUAUAAACAACUAUACUUCUCAGCCACUUGAGAGAAACCCCUGAUGAAGUAUUUUGUAUAAGACGAAACGCGCUGGGUUGUUUGUGUUGUGAAGCUACCUCCGAACCAACUGUAAGGAGAAGGAGGAGAUUGUUGUGAACCUUCAACAUUUUGUAUUCAGCGCUAAGAGUCAUACAUCUUAAAGUGUGGAAUAAUAAUACAUCUCCUCUGUAUUGAUUUGAAUAUGUUUUUAAUAAAUGCUUUAUGAUGGAACAUGUUAUUAUUUUAUGUUAAAAAGUGACAACCAAUUUAGGGUUGGAAAAGUGGGAGUUGAUGUGACUCCUUGGCGCCAAUUCUUCUAUUGUUACAUAUAUAUAUAUAUAUAUAUAUAUAUAUAUAUAUAUAAUAAUAUAUAUAUUUUGAUUUAAAUUAAUAUUUUGUGUUGUGUCAUCCCAGUAUACAUCCAGAGACUGCUAAUGCUCCAUCUAUCUAUGGGUGUUCUGUCAGUCCACCCAAAAUAAAAAAAAUCUUUUAUUUUAAUAUUUUGUCUGUAUACUCCCAGUAUACAUCCUGGCGUGCUCCGUGCAUUUCAGGGUGCUAUGUCCGUAGCUCCUAUUAUUAUGUUAUAAUGUAUUGUGCUAUUUUCAUAAUUCUUAUCACCACAUUGUGACUCAUUCAAAUUAAUAUUAUUAAUAAUAAUUAUAAAUUAAUUAAAUUUAAAUUAAUAUAACUAAACUCUCCACACUUGUAUAGUGAACCUUCUGCAUAUUAAAUAUAGCUU